rnacentral:rRNA from 1 species
AACGCGAAGAACCUUACCUGGGCUCGAAUGUUGUGGACCGUGGUGGAACAUCACUUCCCCGCAAGGGCGUGCAAUAUAGGUGCUGCAUGGCUGUCGUCAGCUCGUGUCGUGAGAUGUUGGGUUAAGUCCCGCAACGAGCGCAACCCUUAUCCCUAGUUGCCAUCGGGUCAAGCCGGGCACUCUAGUGAAACUGCCUCGGAUAACGAGGAGGAAGGUGGGGAUGACGUCAAGUCCUCAUGGCCUUUAUGUCCAGGGCUACACACGUGCUACAAUGGUCGGUACAAACCGUCGCAAACCCGUGAGGGGGAGCUAAUCGGAAAAAGCCGGCCUCAGUUCGGAUUGGAGUCUGCAACUCGACUCCAUGAAGCUGGAAUCGCUAGUAAUCGCGGAUCAGAACGCCGCGGUGAAUACGUUCCCGGGCCUUGUACACACCGGAGUA